rnacentral:rRNA from 1 species
CGCGUAGGCGGUUUUUCAAGUCGUAUGUGAAAACUUCAGGCUUAACCUGAUGAUUGCAUAUGAAACUGGAUAACUUGAGUACAGCAGAGGAAAGUGGAAUUCCUGGUGUAGCGGUGAAAUGUGCAGAUAUCAGGAAGAACACCAGUAGCGAAGGCGGCUUUCUGGGCUGUUACUGACGCUGAGGCGCGAAAGCUAGGGGAGCGAACA